CUCCUGGUGCGUGAGCAACAAAAAUUGAUCUGAAAGUGUGGCAUUCUCUUGUUCUCUGUGCUUUCAGUGGGAGCUACAAUCCUGAGCUGCUGGUGAUCAGCCAUCUUCGUAAUCACAGUGCCUUGCACAAAAUAAAUAAAAAGCACAAGAAUACACACAUGUGCAUGACCCUACAGCCCAGAGGUAUCCACUUCCUGCAUUUUGCAUAUAGUAUUCCAGUGUCUAACAAAUACUUGUAUGAAUUUACAGUCAGCAUCGUUGCAGGGCUAGAGGGAACCAUAAUCCACAAAACCGCCCUCAGUUUUGCACCAAUUGCAAGGGUAAAGGUCCCCAAAACCACCUUCAGGUAUGAUAAUUUGCUAGAAAAACUCACUGAAAGCUGUUAUACUCAUGGUCAUGACUUAGCACGGGGUAGGACACAGAUUAAAAUCAACCCAGGGAAAGGUGCUCAGGCCAGAGUUCAGGAAGGUCCUACCUGCAGAACAUCCAGCUAUCCUUCCCUGUGAAGCUGUGAACAGCGUCACUUCUGGCAUCCAGGCGGGAUCGCCUGAGCUUAAUGUCCCAGAGUCUCUACUGGGGCCCCACGGUUGACUGCCCAUGCAGAUGGUGGUCUCCAACUCACCCUGGGGGGUGAGCUGAUCACAACUUCCACUUAAAUCUCACUGUAGUCUUCCUGGUAUGGUCUGGAGGUCCCAGGCAAACCAAGACCCUCUCAUCAGGCAUGACAUUCCAAGGCUUAGAGACCACUUCUCAGAAGCUGAGAGAAGAAGCCAGGUCUCUCCAGGCAAGGUUCAAUUCUUUAUUACACAGUCAUGUGUAAAGGAUUUAUUUUUCUUUCUAAAAGUUGGAUUGCACUACACACUUGGUUUUGCAAUUGACUCUGGGACUCAUGGCGUGACCGUGUGCCUGAGGCUGACUCAGAAUUCCCGCCAUCGCCCUCUGCUGCUCACCUGGCCAUCCUCGGCACCUGGUUGGAAAUGGAAUUUGGACACUGCAUUGCGUUCGCCUUGUGCGGCAGCUGCAGACCCUCUCACGACCGCCCCAGGAAGCACUGGCAGCUAGUGAGAAUCUGCAGGCAGCCAUGAGCAGUGUGAGAUGAUUUUGCCAACUGCAGCAUCGUGUCCAUGCUCUGAGCACGUCUGAGUGAGAGGGCUCAGCUAUGAUGCCCGGAAGCUUGGGCAUUGGGAGCUCUGAAGACCUCCUUGACAUUCACUCCCUGAAGUCCCCAGAGCCACCGCUCUUCCCUGACAUCUGUGCAAGGCAGGAGGUGCGGGGUCAGUUUCCACAAGGAAGAGUGACUCAUCCAGGCUGUUGUUCCCUGGAGAUAUGACUUUUGCAACAUUUGUAACUUUCCUGUUAGCCUAAAAUUAUCUCAAAAUACAAAGUUAAAAAAUGAAUCAAGUGAGUUAACACUGGAAUUUGCAGAUGAACACUGACGAUACCAACAAUAAUAAAAAUAAUAAUGCCCUUUGUUGAGUGUGGCAAGCAGUGUGCUAGCACCUCGUCAAAUCCCCCUUAGGAAACCAGGGUCUUCCUUGAGCAUCCUGGGAGUGUGGCAAGGCAGCCAGGGAAGUGGAGGCGUUCCAGGGACGCCCGUCUCUACUGCCGCUUGCUGGCAGCGUUCACUCUGUUAGCUCAAUGUUUGCCUUAAUGCACCCUUUAGAAUCACACUCUAUCCUUGGAGGCUUCAGCGGCUGAUAAAAAAAGAAGGCUUCUGUGUACACAUUGGCAACUCUACCACCCAAUUUCCAGUGGAGCUCCAGAAGCUAAAAAUAACCACGUGCUUUCUGUUUCAUGCAGAAAAGAGGACGUGUGCACUUUAUUUCGUAACACUUGCCAUUUUUGAAACUCUGAUUUUUCCCACAUGUAUUUUUAAAAUGUCCUUGAAGGAAAAGACACGAUGUGGAUUUCACCAGUUUUCUCUUUUCUGUAAUCCAGCUCAGGUCUAGGGGCAGGUCCAGAUCUUCAGGAAACAACUCCUGGAAAUCAGACGUGGAAGAAAACCUUGAGCCAACAUGCAUGGCCAUGAGGUGGACUUGCCAAGAAGUGCCCGGAGACAGCUCCCUGGGGUCUGAGGCUGAGGCCCAUAGGAGGAAUGGCAUCUUCAAGGGUCCCCGGAUCCCUGCAGCCCACGGCAGGGAGGAGCAGUGGCCUGCCAGGGUCUCUGCAUGGCCUGUUCCCUGUGCAAGGAGAGGCCACAGACUUAGAGCACAAUCCAGGGCUCUGUGUGCUGAGGCAGGAGCAAGGAUAGCCAUCCAGGGCUCUGCCUUCCCCAAGCUUUCAGCGCUGUCCUCACCAAGGCCAAGCAUGGUUGCUGGAGGGAGCCGUUUGUACCAGGUUUCCAUCUGCGUGAUGCUCACUUGCUUACUUUUCACUAAGUGAGCCCCACAGAGGUGCAUUUUGGGGAAUUUCCAGUGAGCACAGAGCAGGUGGGCCAUGGGUGGGUCAGGGCUGGGCACGACAUCAGAGGAGGACCCUGCCCUCUGAGGAGCAUCCUCCUCACAGGUAGGGCCACCUGGUGGGUUUUCUGAGUUAGCUCUCUCCUGAGGCUGCCAGGCCAGGCCCUUUCCCAUCUUGCUGCACUCACCCUGCCUGGACCAAGGGUCCCAGACUUACCACCUGGCUGAUGCUUGGGUGUGAGCAAAAUUCCUAGGAUCCAAGGUCAGGGACUAGAAGGGCAGUGGGAAUGGUGUCUGUGGCUGGAAAAAACCCAAGGCCACACAGCCAGGAGGUUAGGCAGAGAGGUGGGACAUGGCCUUUGACCCAAGUGAACCUGAGCAGUGCUAGAAAUACCGCUGGGACCGUGCACAGACGUACACAGUUGGUUAACACUAGUCUUCCCAGCUAGGACUGAGCAGAGCCCCUCCCAGCACCCUGACUGCUGUUACUCAAGUGCAGCUGCUUGCCUUGUGCAUCCUCUAGGGCUGGUCUGGCCUCAUCUUCAAUGAUGCACUGACAGGGCCACUGCAAUACGACAGGAAGAGGAAAUACGUGGUAAGAACGGUGACAAUGUAAAUGCAUACAAUGUACACAUUUCCUCCAGAAAGUCAGCCAUAAAUUAGAAAAUGCAAUAUGGACAAGCUUAGUUCUCUCCUCAGUACUAACAACCCACACAUGAACUUAGCAGAGAACUGGAUUAAGAACAGUAUUAAAACUGAGGCUUAGUGUGAGGAAAGGUCCCAGGCUUACUAAGGUUAAGGGAAUUUACCUGUGUAGACACAUUAUCACCACAUUAUUACCCUGGAGACAAAGACUGAUGAGCAAAUAGAUUAAUUCUCCUCUGGAUUUAAGAACUUAUAAAGUCAAAACAAAACUAUAUUUGGCUGUCUUAAAACAUGCUAAUAGGAUUCAAAAGCUUAUCCGGAAAGCAACUGAGCUUGAAGAAGCACAAGCCAUUUUAAGAGAAGAUUAUUAAGGAGGAACAUUCCCUCUCAGAUAUUAAACCAUAGUGUGAAGCUACAAUCACAAAAAAGUGGCACAACUGCAAUUAUCAGUUAUAUCGGGGAAAACAGAUUACUCCUGAAAGAAUUAGAAUUUAUGAAAUAAUUUUAUGUGUUCAUAUUAUAAUAUACUAGGGGUUAAUGGUAUCAUUACAUAUCUCUGGAGAAAGAUUUAUUCAAUCUGUGAUAUGUGAU